AACGAACGCUGGCGGCAGGCCUAACACAUGCAAGUCGAACGGGAUCUUCGGAUCUAGUGGCGGACGGGUGAGUAACGCGUGGGAACGUGCCCUUUGGUUCGGAAUAGCCCCGGGAAACUGGGAGUAAUACCGGAUAAGCCCUACGGGGGAAAGAUUUAUCGCCAAAGGAUCGGCCCGCGUUGGAUUAGGUAGUUGGUGAGGUAAUGGCGCACCAAGCCGACGUUCCAUAGCUGGUUUGAGAGGAUGAUCAGCCACACUGGGACUGAGACACGGCCCAGACUCCUACGGGAGGCAGCAGUGGGGAAUCUUAGACAAGGGGGGAAACCCUGAUCUAGCCAUGCCGCGUGAUCGAUGAAGGCCUUAGGGUUGUAAAGAUCUUUCAGUGGGGAAGAUAAUGACUGUACCCACAGAAGAAGCCCCGGCUAACUCCGUGCCAGCAGCCGCCGUAA
rnacentral:rRNA from 1 species